rnacentral:tRNA from 1 species
GCGAAAAUAGCUCAGUGGUAGAGCAUCGGUUUCGUAAGUCAAAGGUCGUGGGUUCGAUCCCCGGUUUCCCCG